rnacentral:rRNA from 1 species
GCCUACAUGAAGCUGGAGUUACUAGUAAUCGCAGAUCAGAAUGCUGCGGUGAAUGCGUUCCCGGGUCUUGUACACACCGCCCGUCACACCACGGAAGUUGGGGGCGCCCGAAGCCACUUAGCUAACCCUUUUGGGAAGCGAGUGUCGAAGGUGAAAUCAAUAACUGGGUGAAGUCGUAACAAGGUAUC